rnacentral:rRNA from 1 species
AUUGAACGCUGGCGGCAUGCCUUACACAUGCAAGUCGAACGGCAGCACGGGUGCUUGCACCUGGUGGCGAGUGGCGAACGGGUGAGUAAUACAUCGGAACAUGUCCUGUAGUGGGGGAUAGCCCGGCGAAAGCCGGAUUAAUACCGCAUACGAUCUACGGAUGAAAGCGGGGGACCUUCGGGCCACGCGCUAUAGGGUUGGCCGAUGGCUGAUUAGCUAGUUGGUGGGGUAAAGGCCUACCAAGGCGACGAUCAGUAGCUGGUCUGAGAGGACGACCAGCCACACUGGGACUGAGACACGGCCCAGACUCCUACGGGAGGCAGCAGUGGGGAAUUUUGGACAAUGGGCGAAAGCCUGAUCCAGCAAUGCCGCGUGUGUGAAGAAGGCCUUCGGGUUGUAAAGCACUUUUGUCCGGAAAGAAAUCCUUGGCCCUAAUACGGUCGGGGGAUGACGGUACCGGAAGAAUAAGCACCGGCUAACUACGUG